rnacentral:rRNA from 1 species
UACGUAGGUGGCAAGCGUUGUCCGGAAUUAUUGGGCGUAAAGCGCGCGCAGGUGGUUUCUUAAGUCUGAUGUGAAAGCCCACGGCUCAACCGUGGAGGGUCAUUGGAAACUGGGGAACUUGAGUGCAGAAGAGGAAAGUGGAAUUCCAAGUGUAGCGGUGAAAUGCGUAGAGAUUUGGAGGAACACCAGUGGCGAAGGCGGCUUUCUGGUCUGUAACUGACGCUGAGGCGCGAAAGCGUGGGGAGCAAACAGG